rnacentral:rRNA from 1 species
UACGUAGGGUGCAAGCGUUAUCCGGAAUUAUUGGGCGUAAAGAGCUCGUAGGCGGUUUGUCGCGUCUGCUGUGAAAACUGGGGGCUCAACCCCCCAGCCUGCAGUGGGUACGGGCAGACUAGAGUGCGGUAGGGGAGAUUGGAAUUCCUGGUGUAGCGGUGGAAUGCGCAGAUAUCAGGAGGAACACCGAUGGCGAAGGCAGAUCUCUGGCCAGUAACUGACGCUGAGGCGCGAAAGCGUGGGAGCAAACAGG